rnacentral:lncRNA from 1 species
CAUGCUUUAAAGCAAACUCUGAAUUAGAAUUUGGAUUUUCUUUUGUGUUUUCCCAUGACUGUUUGAAAAGAUGGCUGAAAGCCACAGACAAGAUUUUGCUUUUAAGAAUGUUACAGGGCAGAAAUUUUGCUCCCAUUGUAUCUUCUUGACUCUUGGGAUAAAUAAUAGCUAGAUUGCCAACAUCAAUGGAAUAUUUCAUAUUAAAUGCUCAAGUGAUAGCUCUGAAACUGUCUACCAGAAUGUUAAAAAUUAAAUAGUUACUCCUUCAAACCACCAAAACAGUAUGCAAUCAGUAUACCGUGGAUACAAAUGAUCUCUUUGUGGUUCUCAGACUGUUCAAACAUUAGUUUGAAAACUGGCUUGGCCUGUAUUUGAGAGUUGAGUGGUGCGGCGGAAUUCAUUUUCUCCCAUUACAUUCUCUGAAUCAUCAUCCAGGGCAUGUUCCAGUACUGAUAACAGCAAGCACCGAAUGGUGGUCUUCACAAGAAGAGAGCAGGAUAAACAGCCUCACAGCCACUUGCUCCUAACUUUCAGCUAAGUAGGUAGAAUAGAGAAGAUGGCUUCACUCCAAAAUUAUCACAACAGAGGCAACGUAGAUGAGGAGAUAAGUGCCGUCUCCGUGAGCCCCGAACAAUGCACACUAUUUUACUCUGAAGCACUGGGAUUCAGAGCAUUGUAUCACAAAGGAAAAUCUGGGAAGGCAGCUAAGCAAGUCUCAUAAAGGUUUGCCAGGAACUGUCCCUGAGACACAGCGAGCCCUGAGCACACCCGAGGGCUGCGUACUGGCCCUCUGCUGCACACUGCCAGGGCUUGGAUUGCUGCAGUAACAAGGAUCCUCUGCACACCAGGUAGCUCAUGGAGGCUGCCUCGCAAAAGCAUCCUUUUAUUGAUGAACAAAAUAUCACAGUAAGUUAGUGGAGAAAGGAACCAUAAAAAUUAAUGGGAUAAAGUAAUCCAUGUAACAUUUAAAAUAAAAUUUAGUUGCACAGAACUGCUGAUUUUCUG